CCUACGUGCGGCAGCAGUGAGGAAUAUUGGUCAAUGGGCGCGAGCCUGAACCAGCCCAGUAGCGUGAAGGAUGCCUGCCCUACGGGUUGUAAACUUCUUUUAUAAAGGAAUAAAGUGAGGCACGUGUGCCUUUUUGUAUGUACUUUAUGAAUAAGGAUCGGCUAACUCAGUGCCAGCAGCCGCGGUAAUACGGAGGAUCCGAGCGUUAUCCGGAUUUAUUGGGUUUAAAGGGAGCGUAGAUGGGUUGUUAAGUCAGUUGUGAAAGUUUGCGGCUCAACCGUAAAAUUGCAAUUGAUACUGGCAGUCUUGAGUACAGUUGAGGUAGGCGGAAUUCGUGGUGUAGCGGUGAAAUGCUUAGAUAUCACGAAGAACUCCGAUUGCGAAGGCAGCUUACUAAACUGCCACUGACAUUGAUGCUCGAAAGUGUGGGUAUCAAACAGGAGUAGAUACCCGGGUAGUC
rnacentral:rRNA from 1 species